AGUAUUGAAGUAAUAAUUACAAUUAGUUUCGACCUAAUAAUAAGAGAUUUAUUCUCCUUACUU
rnacentral:tRNA from 1 species